rnacentral:rRNA from 1 species
CCAGAGACCCCAGGUCAGGC